rnacentral:piRNA from 1 species
UACUAUGGAAUAGUUCAUCUCAAUAGGUUU